rnacentral:rRNA from 1 species
ACUCCUACGGGAGGCAGCAGUGGGGAAUAUUGCACAAUGGGCGCAAGCCUGAUGCAGCAACGCCGUGUGAGUGAAGAAGGUUUUCGGAUCGUAAAACUCUGUCCUAAGGGAAGAAACAAAUGACGGUACCUUAGGAGGAACGCCCCGGCUAACUACGUGCCAGCAGCCGCGGUAAUACGUAGGGGCAAGCGUUAUCCGGAAUCACUGGGCGUAAAGGGUGCGUAGGCGGCUUAGCAAGCCAGGGGUGAAAGGCAUUGGCUCAACCAAUGUAAGCCUUUGGAACUGUUAAGCUUGAGUGCAGGAGAGGUAAGUGGAAUUCCUAGUGUAGAGGUGAAAUUCGUAGAUAUUAGGAGGAACACCAGUGGCGAAGGCGACUUACUGGACUGUAACUGACGCUGAUGCACGAAAGCGUGGGUAGCGAACAGGAUUAGAUACCCUGGUAGACUGUCA